rnacentral:rRNA from 1 species
AACGAACGCUGGCGGCAGGCUUAACACAUGCAAGUCGAGCGCCCCGCAAGGGGAGCGGCAGACGGGUGAGUAACGCGUGGGAAUCUACCCAUCUCUACGGAAUAACGCAUGGAAACGUGUGCUAAUACCGUAUACGUCCUUCGGGAGAAAGGUUUAUCGGAGAUGGAUGAGCCCGCGUUGGGUUAGCUAGUUGGUGGGGUAAAGGCCUACCAAGGCGACGAUCCAUAGCUGGUCUGAGAGGAUGAUCAGCCACACUGGGACUGAGACACGGCCCAGACUCCUACGGGAGGCAGCAGUGGGGAAUAUUGGACAAUGGGCGCAAGCCUGAUCCAGCCAUGCCGCGUGAGUGAUGAAGGCCCUAGGGUUGUAAAGCUCUUUCACCGGUGAAGAUAAUGACGGUAACCGGAGAAGAAGCCCCGGCUAACUUCGUGCCAGCCGCCGCGGUAAGAC